rnacentral:rRNA from 1 species
AUGGCGGACACGGGCGAUGCCGACGUGUGUGCCAUCUGCCUCGGCGGCAUGGUCCGCGGCCAGGCCAGCUACACGGCGGAGUGCUCCCACGCCUUCCACCUCAUCUGCAUCUCCGCCAGCGUCGCCCACGGGAACCACACCUGCCCGCUCUGCAAGGCGCCCUGGACCGUCCUGCCGGCCGUGAACGCCCCCGCCCAGGCAGCGGCACCAUCGUCGCCGUCGUCCUCGUCCCAACAGGUGCCCCGCACGUACGAUGACGACGAGCCGACCGUCGGGGCGCAGACCGCGGCGGCGACCAACGGCGGUGCGGUGGUCCUCAGGACGCACUGUGAGUGCCCGGCCGUCGCGAGGGCCGCGGUCCGCGAAAACUUCGCGGUGCUCGUGCACGCCAGGGCGCCAUCUUCGGCCGCCUCCGAGGCGGCGCGCGCGCCGCUGGACCUCGUGACGGUGCUCGACGUCAGCGGCAGCAUGACCGGCCGCAAGCUGGCGCUGCUGAAGCAGGCCAUGGGGUUCGUCAUCGACAACCUUGGAUCCGCCGACCGCCUCUCCGUGUCCUUCUCCAACAGCGCGAGCCGGCUGAUCCGCCUCGUGCGCAUGUCUGACGCGGGGAAGGCCGCCGCGAAGCGCGCCGUGGAAUCCCUCGCCGCAAACGGCGGCACCAACAUCGGCGAGGGGCUCCGUGUGGCCGCCCAGGUGUUCGGCGACCGCCAGCACAUGAACGCCGUCGCCAGCAUCAUGCUUCUCUCCGACGGGCAGGACACGUUCACCGCGCCAAGAAGACACCGCAGUGGUGCCGCCCCCAACUACAUCAGGGGCGCCGGAGCCCGGCCACCGGCGGUUCAUGCGUUUGGCUUCGGCACCGACCACGACGCAGCGGCGAUGCACACCAUCGCGGAGGCGACCGGCGGCACAUUUUCCUUCAUUGAGAACGAGGCGGUCGUCCAGGACUCGUUCGCGCAGUGCAUCGGCGGGCUCCUCACGGUCACCGUCCAGGAGCUGCGCAUCGCGGUGACGUGCUUGCAUCCCAGCGUGCUCGUCCGGGCGGUCAAGUCGGGGCGCUACGACAACCGGGUGGACGCCGGCGGGCGUUCUGCCUCAGUGGACGUCGGCGAGCUCUAUGCCGACGAGGAGAGGCGCUUCCUCAUAUUCCUGGACGUGCCAGGGGCCGAGGAUGCCGUUGACGUCACCGGACUGGUCAAAGCGAGCUGCACUUAUCGUGAUGCUGCGACAGGGCAGGCAGCCACCCUCGCGGGAGACGACGCCGUUGUCCAGAGGCCAAUUGAGGCGGCCGACGUGCGGCCGUCCAUGGAGGUCGAGCGUGAGCGCGUCCGCGUGGAGGCAACCGAGGACAUGGCGGCGGCGCGGGAGGCGGCCGAUCGCGAGCAACACGCCGAGGGCGCACGGAUACUGCGAGGCCGGCUGGAGGCCGUGGAGCGUUCGGCGCCGGGGAUGGCCGGCGAUCCCAUGUGCAAGGAGCUAGAGGACGAGCUGCGCGUCCUUAUCGCUGGCGUGGAAGACCGGCGGGAGUACGAGACGACGGGGCGCGCGUGCUUCCUGUCGGGCAUGAGCUCGCAUGGGCAGCAGCGCGCGGCGACGAGGCAGCUGCAGACUGCUAGCAUGCCGACGGCUUACGUAACUCCGGCAAUGGAGAAGAUGGUGAAGAAGUCACGCGAGCAGAGACAGACGGGGGCGGCGGAGCCGCCGCCGCCGCCGAACAGGAAGCGUGUCAAAGGGCAGCAGCUAGACGGCGAAAGCGAGGAAAGGUCAGAAGAAGCAUAA